UAACGCGUGAGUAACCUGCCUUGGAGUGGGGAAUAACACAUCGAAAGAUGUGCUAAUACCGCAUAAUGCAACUAAGUCGCAUGGCUUUGGUUGCCAAAGAUUUAUCGCUCUAAGAUGGCCUCGCGUCUGAUUAGAUAGUUGGCGGGGUAACGGCCCACCAAGUCGACGAUCAGUAGCCGGACUGAGAGGUUGGCCGGCCACAUUGGGACUGAGACACGGCCCAGACUCCUACGGGAGGCAGCAG
rnacentral:rRNA from 1 species